ACUAGUGUACUGCAGCUGGGCAGGCACACUCCUCGCAGACCCGGCGCUCUCCAAGGAGAAAAGAAAGUUAGUGGGCUUGGGGUACUAUGGCAGAAAUGGCCAGGGAAGGGUUUAUCUAACCACCAGGAGUACGCAAAGAAGAGAGGUCCAGCCAGCCUGCCUCUCAGAUUGUUAAGAUGCCAGGUGUCUUUUGGCUCAUGGAAACAGCUGUUCUGCCCCCUCCCGAACCCUAGACUCACAGCUACACUCUAUGGCAGGAGAUUUCACAAAGAAAAGGAGAAGGCAAGAACCACAGAGGCAAAGAUUGGAGAGAUGUGGCUGCAAGUCAGGCAGUAUCUAGCUGCCACUAGAUACUGGAAGAGUCAAGGAAUGGACUCUCCCUGGAGACUCCAGAGAAAACCUAGCCCUUCUGACUCCUUGAUUGUUGCCUUAUAAGACUCAUUUCAGACUUUAGGCUGCGUAUGAGAGAAUAAAUUUCUGUUGUUUUAAGCCACAAAGUUUGUGACCACAAUAAUAAUAUAGCACCAUUUAUAACAAAGCACUAUGUUUUUAUCUGUAUUAGUAUAGUUAUCACCGUCUUUCUUACUUUAUACCUGGUGGAUACCUAUUGAUUUUCUUUUUAGAGGGCAGGGAUCUGUCUUAUUCAUGA
rnacentral:lncRNA from 1 species